UGCAAAACGUGAGCCCAACAGGAAGUUGCCUGCAAAUUCAGGUAGCUUUUCUGACUCUUAACGAGCUCUUGAAUCUACUUUCAGAGAAAUGCCAGCAAAAACUGUAGUCAUUUGUAGCCCAAGAACAAGUCUGGAAGAAAAAUACACAGAGGACUAGCACCAAGAGGCCAUCUCAUGUAGUUUGGUAAAGCAACACGUCACUGUGGGAAAAUCUCUACUGAAGAUCCCAACCUGUAAAUGCCAUCAAUCCGAAGAAGUCCUUGUGCUGAGGAACCGGACUUCCUCUCUGGACAUACAUACAACACAGUGGAAAAUAACAAAUGAUGACAAAGACUUUGUAUCUGCUGUAUAACAAAUCACCUCCAAAUCUGGCGGCCUAAAACAAUUGCACAGCACUGCCCACAAGUGUAAAGUUUGAAAAGUUUAUGACAGACCACAGCUCAUGAUGGGGACAAUCCUGAGGAUAUACGAAAAGCAUUUCCCAUGCAGGAAGAAGAAAAUAUUCUAAAGAAGAGAUAAGAGUGUGCCAUGAAAUCAAAAAGCCAACAGAUCUCAGGGAGUUCCUUUUCUACCCAAACUAUCAGAUGUAAUUUAGCAGUAAAGAAAGAGUUGGCUCACGUGUAACAAGUACUCAUGUGCGAUUAUGGAGUUUUCUUCUCUAUUUCAAAAAGAAAGGUGGAGAAAUGGAGAACAGGAUAAAGGCCUGGAAUCCCUGCUCCAGAAAGACAAGCAUUUCUGAGGAAAACUGUACAUGUUAGUUGGAAUCAGUCGGAUAUUUCUAUAAUCAAAAACAGUCCAUGUUGGUUUGAGGACGGUCAUGACUAGUACUGCAUCUGUACAACUGGAAAUACCAGUGCACCACAUUUUUCUCCCAUGAUGCUUCCAAAUCUCUCUAAACAGUUAGCUGAUAGCUGUGAUUGGCCAUUGAGAAGAGGGAGGAGUAAUGACUUCAAUGACCCCAGAAGAUUCCAGAGCAGAGAACAGCAGCAGUCUGGCUUUGUUCUUUGGUACCAAGUGCCCCCGUCAACCACUGCAGUAAGUACUCGUCUGCCUUUGGGCCCUAUUAGCCCACACAGUAAACCCCGCUGGAAAGUAGGGCUGAGCUGUGAGUGCUAUUGGUACUGUCUCCAUUCUAUGCUGGUUCUUUUAGACUUUGUGUUUCUAUGGGGUCUACUCGUUGGUUUCCACUUUGAUUUCUCCAAUAUUGAAGAUAUAUUAUAUUGGCUUCUCUCCAGCUCUCAGAAUGCUCUCUUCUUUAGUUCUAUUCCUAUGAUCACUUGCUGUCCACUUGGCCAGCUACCCAUAUUGUCAUGAAAGGAGAGUGUCACAGUAGGUAAUAUCACAUCAGACUACAAACCUGGUACAAACUGGACCUUUAACUCAUUCUUACCCUUCCCAUACCCAUCACAUACUGUAUCACAUGCAAGGCUUAUUCUGGGCAUGACUGGGGGUAGGAAGAUUGUUAUGCAUCUGAUGUCCUCUCCAGUAGGCCUUCGGUAAUGACAUGAAAAAUGUCACACCAGAUCAUUGACAGUCUUCAAAGAUGGCUACAACAAUUCUUCCAAUUCUUAUGCACCUGCCCCUUUGUGAUGUAAUCUUGUCACUACUCCCAUCAAGACACAGAGGCUAUUUCCCCUCCCCUAGACUCUAUGCCAGCCCCGCAACUUCACUUAAACAGAAGGGGCAUCAGAUGACUUCAGGCUUUAAAAGGCCUUUCAGCUUUUGCUCUCAGGCCCUUGCUGCCCUAAGAGCACCACGUAAGGAAUCCUGGGCCAGCCUCCAUGAGAAGACACCAAUCCCAGCCGGCAGAUGCAGAGAUGGUACAGUGGAGAAUCCUGAUGCUUGAAAACAACAUACAAAUAACUAAAACUUGUGUAUCCAGCAGAGAUAUAUGCUGUGAACAGUGUGACUGAAUCACUAGGAACUUUGCCUAGAGAGGGCUCAUUUGUGGUUAAAAGAAACCACAAACAUUUUUCCAACAAAGCUGAAGAAGAAUCAACACUUAAAAAAAAAAAUCAGAAUACAAGUUUAAGUGACUUGAUGUAAAAUAAAUGAAAAUCAAUACCUUUUCUUUAUAGUAGCAUUAACUAGUCAGAAAAUAAAAGGAGAAAUAGCCUAUUCCCCUCUUCCCCAAAUAGGGUGGGAGUAUAAGAAACCUGUUAGAUUAUACUGAGGGACAAUGAACAGAAAGACAUUUUUAUAAAGUUAUCAAUUCUUUCCAAAUUCAUCUUAAUGCAAUUUCAAUCCCACUAAAAUAUUUUUAGCUUUUUAAAAACCAGAUAAAAGUUGUAAGUUAAUACAAAAGUAGGUGAGGAAGAUUACCCAUAAGUUGAACCAGACAGGGUGGGACAUUUGCUACAUAACUAUUAAGAUAGUCUAAAAAGGUACUGUGACCAGAUUAUGGUGAUAUCACUGAAAAGACAAACCAGUAGCAUCCAGAAAAAGAUCCAGUUAUCUAUGCUAACUUAGAUAUAAGGCAAUAUAUGGCAAAAUUAGUAUUUUCAAUUUAGUUGGGAAAAUUUCAUCUAUUUAACAAAUAGACUGCUGGAUUGCUGACCCAGCUAAAAGAAAACAAAGUUUAAUUUUUUAAUCUCUACCUCACAGCUCAAUACAAAAAUUUUCUAUAUAUAUCAUAUAUAUGUAUACAUAAAAAUAUAUAUGCAACUGUUUCUUUUACUUGCACCUUGGACUUUUGUCAUCAGUACAUACAUUUAUCUCAUUCUUGCUUAAUGGCUUUUGACUGUGAUGAUUUAAUUAUUUUAAUGGACAUAGGGAUUGGUUCCAUAUUUUUAAGGAUACAGUCAUAGAAGCAUAAUCAUUAGGCAAAAAGACGUGAGCAUAUAAAAUAUUACUAGUUAUUGCUAAAUUUCUGGCACAAAAUUUUAGAAGGAAUUCCUCAUGUGGUUUCUUUUCUAAGGGAUUAUUUUCAGUUGACUUAUGGAUGUCUUAAUUUGCCCACUAAUCUACUUGAUCAAGAUAACAAGUAUUAAUUAAUUAAGCAUUUUCUUUGCUUCUGACAGUUAACUAAGGGCUAGGGAGAAGGCAUUGGAUGGUCAAUGGAUACAAUACAAAGUUACCCUUAAGACUGUUUUAAAAAAAAAAAGAAAAUUUUUUAGAUACUUAAGUACCAAACUGGGUGAUAGUGUCAUGUGUUUUAAAGAAUCAGAGAUAAAAGAAAGGUUUUAAAAAGAUAAAAUUUGGCUAUUUUCUGCAAAUACAUUCCCCCCAAAUGGUUAUAACUCCAAAUCCAUUUGGAUCUUAGUCUUUAUGGUGAUUGAUAAUGUCCAUGAGAACUGACCAACUACACAACUUCUGCUGUACCUUACAAAAGUUCAAAUCACAUAAAUGAUCGUGAGACAAGGCUAAUUAAAGGGAAGGAAGGGAAUGUACCCAACACUUAUUUAACAUGUACCAUGUGCCAUUGCCUUGAUGAGAGUCUCUUCUAUUUUUUUUUUUUUUCACCUCUGGCAUGACUUUGAAGGAGGAUACUUUAGCAGUGAGUAUCUAAAAUGAGAGACAGUUCUAGGGACAAAAAGAGCAUAAAAGAAAAGUUGGCAUCUCUAGAUCCCCUGUCUGCCUAGCACCGUGAAAGAACCUUGAAGCACAGUGUUUGUUUCACACAGAAUACUCCAAGGCGGGCUCAAAGAUACCUUCUAUUUGGAUACCAGAGGAGGAAGUACUAAGGACUGAAUGGGGUCCUCAGGGACCUAAGUCCUAAGAAAUUUCCAUUUGAGGAGCAGAGGUUAAAAGUACAUGGCCCUCGGCUGAUAGAAGUCCUCUUAUUUCCCAUACUUGCAUAUGCCUGGGAAGUUACCCUACCACUAACACAACCACCACCUGCCUCCACUGCUCCGCUUCAGCCAAUGUCUGACUGUAUGGAAUAUGAAGAGCCAGUCUGCCUCAAAUCAUGGUAAUUCUGCUGUACAUUUAUGCCUCAGAGUCCCUCAUUGUUCAGGUCAACAACAGAAUUUACCUGUGACUAUAUCCUUGAUGAGCAAUUUGACUAUACCAGUGUCACCUCCCUUUCUCAGGUUUUUCCUAAAGAGCACUCUCUCAGUAAGUCACUUGGCUUGAAUCUGUCUCUGGCUCUGCUUCUAGAGAACCCAACUUAAGACAAAGGGCAUCUGGGAUUCUGGUCAUAUUUCCAUUUAUCACACCUGACAAGUUCUAAUCCUCACAAUGACUCUACAAAGUAGGUGCUAUUAUUCCAAUUGUAUGAAUUGAUACAUUAAGAUUGGCCCACUGAGCCAGAGUCAGCAAAGAGGCAGAUAGAUCCCAGAGAGAACAGAAAUCAACUGCUUAAAUAGUUUCCCAAAAGAAACCACCAAAGGCUGCCUUUAAGAGGGAGGUAUCUGGCUCUCCCACUCUGGGGCCAUUCAUUCUAACUUUCUACAAAUUUACCCAUUCAGAGAAAAGUUGUACAUGAGGACACAAGAUGUAGAUUUUUCAAUCGAUGUUAUAAAGUCAGUGUUCUAAAGCUUCAAAAUUAAUCUUAUUGCUAGAACUCAUACAGCAAUUCGGUAGCGUGGCAGGAUACAAAAUCAAUGCCCAGAAGUCAGUGGCAUUUCUAUACACUAACAAUGAGACUGAAGAAAGAGAAAUUAAGGAGU